rnacentral:lncRNA from 1 species
AAUAUUGAUUUUUUUUUUUUAGUUUCUACUUCCUUUACUGUCCAGACCACAAUCCCAUAGAAUUCCUUUUUGCCUAUCGAAGUCUGUCCUACAUUAAAUGCUAUUUUUACUGAAUCUUUCCGAAAUUCUGUGUUAAUCUUUCCCCUAAAAUCCUCAAAUCUUUCGAAGCACAGAGAGAGCCGAUUUACUUCCGCAAUUAUUUAUUUAUCGAUACACUUAACAAAGUAAAGUGUAAUUUAUUCUUGAUUUAUUUUCGAGCCCAAGAGGUUUGAUAUAGGGGUUUUCCGAUCGAUUCAGAAAAAGCUAGAGAGAAUGGCGAGCCCUGUCAACGUUACUCAGGUAAUCGAAUUUAAUUCAAAGGAAAAUUGUAUGUAUAUGUGCAUGCAUGUUAUGUAAUCGUUUUAUUAAAUCUUUGCAGUCUUGAGAUUGAUUUGUUCCUUUGGAUGAUUAGGUGGGAUCGUAUUUUGGUCGGCAGUAUUAUCAGGUGUUUCAUCAACAAAGGGAUAUUGUGCAUCAGUUUAUUGUUGACAGUUCUAUGAUUAGAAUCGAUGGGGAUUCAAGUGAAUCCUUUUCGGGAAGGGCAGUGAGUUUCUUUUCGAAAUACGAAUUUUGAUUUUGGAUUUCAAUUAUUUUUUGUUAGAUCGGAUUAAGGUUAUCGUAUUGAUUCAGUUACAAUAUUUGUCAUGACAGAAAUAAUAUAGGGUCAUGACUCAUGAAAGCUUAAUGUUUUUCAUUAUUAUUAACAGAUAUCAUCACUUAAAUCAAUGCGCUCCUCAAUUCACAUAUUAAUGGACGCAAGGACCCACUGCUACCUAAACCGAUAAUAAUCUUUAGUAAUGAUGAUUAUCAUCAUUUGUCACGAAUGCAAUAAACUUAAUGUGAUUUGGGUAAUUUUUUCAGCGUGUUUUUGCUUCACUUUCUUUAUAUACUUGUAAUUCCUGUCGUUUAACAUUAUCGUUAGGCAUAUUUUUGGCUAUGAAAUUUCAAGAGCAAAAUAAAUUACCAUUAAAGUAGUUGCAAUGAAUCAUUAAGCAUAACAAAUUGGGUUUGCAUGGAAUUCCAUGUGUUAAUAUGUUCAACAAAUCUUAGUUACUAGUGAAGUAACCUUUUGAACGUAGUUCGUCUUUAUUACCAUGCUUGUUAAUCAUUGAUACUUCUUUGUAAUUUACUUGCUGCAUGAUACAUUAACAAAUAAACAAGCAAGUCUUUCCUUCUUUAUGUUUUUCUUUCCCUACUUUAUGGAUAAAUAAGAAUCUUGCUCCCUGAUUUUUUACCCUUCCAUA